AACGAACGCUGGCGGCGCGCCUAAUACAUGCAAGUCGAGCGAGAAGACGUAGCAAUACGUUUGUAAAGCGGCGAACGGGUGAGGAAUACAUGGGUAACCUACCCUCGAGUGGGGAAUAACUAGCCGAAAGGUUAGCUAAUACCGCGUACGCUCCUUGGACUUCGGUUCAGGGAGGAAAGCGAUACCGUGGGUAUCGCGCUCUUGGAUGGGCUCAUGUCCUAUCAGCUUGUUGGUGAGGUAACGGCUCACCAAGGCUUCGACGGGUAGCUGGUCUGAGAGGACGAUCAGCCACACUGGCACUGCGACACGGGCCAGACUCCUACGGGAGGCAGCAGUAAGGAAUAUUGCGCAAUGGGCGAAAGCCUGACGCAGCGACGCCGCGUGGGGGAUGAAGGUCUUCGGAUUGUAAACCCCUUUCGGGAGGGAAGAUGGAACGAGCAAUCGUUCGGACGGUACCUCCAGAAGCAGCCACGGCUAACUUCGUGCCAGCCGCCGC
rnacentral:rRNA from 1 species